rnacentral:rRNA from 1 species
GGUUAAGCGACUAAGCGUACACGGUGGAUGCCCUGGCAGUCAGAGGCGAUGAAGGACGUGCUAAUCUGCGAAAAGCGUCGGUAAGGUGAUAUGAACCGUUAUAACCGGCGAUGUCCGAAUGGGGAAACCCAGUGCAAUUCGUUGCACUAUCGUUAACUGAAUACAUAUGUUAACGAGGCGAACCGGGGGAACUGAAACAUCUAAGUACCCCGAGGAAAAGAAAUCAACCGAGAUUCCCCCAGUAGCGGCGAGCGAACGGGGAGCAGCCCAGAGUCUGAAUCAGCUUGUGUGUUAGUGGAACGGUCUGGAAAGUCCGACGGUACAGGGUGAUAGUCCCGUACACCAAAAUGCACAGGCUGUGAACUCGAAGAGUAGGGCGGGACACGUGGUAUCCUGUCUGAAUAUGGGGGGACCAUCCUCCAAGGCUAAAUACUCCUGACUGACCGAUAGUGAACCAGUACCGUGAGGGAAAGGCGAAAAGAACCCCGGCGAGGGGAGUGAAAAAGAACCUGAAACCGUGUACGUACAAGCAGUGGGAGCACCUUCGGGUGUGACUGCGUACCUUUUGUAUAAUGGGUCAGCGACUUAUAUUCUGUAGCAAGGUUAACCGUAUAGGGGAGCCGCAGGGAAACCGAGUCUUAACUGGGCGUUAAGUUGCAGGGUAUAGACCCGAAACCCGGUGAUCUAGCCAUGGGCAGGUUGAAGGUUGGGUAACACUAACUGGAGGACCGAACCGACUAAUGUUGAAAAAUUAGCGGAUGACUUGUGGCUGGGGGUGAAAGGCCAAUCAAACCGGGAGAUAGCUGGUUCUCCCCGAAAGCUAUUUAGGUAGCGCCUCGUGAAUUCAUCUUCGGGGGUAGAGCACUGUUUCGGCUAGGGGGUCAUCCCGACUUACCAACCCGAUGCAAACUACGAAUACCGAAGAAUGUUAUCACGGGAGACACACGGCGGGUGCUAACGUCCGUCGUGAAGAGGGAAACAACCCAGACCGCCAGCUAAGGUCCCAAAGUCAUGGUUAAGUGGGAAACGAUGUGGGAAGGCACAGACAGCCAGGAUGUUGGCUUAGAAGCAGCCAUCAUUUAAAGAAAGCGUAAUAGCUCACUGGUCGAGUCGGCCUGCGCGGAAGAUGUAACGGGGCUAAACCAUGCACCGAAGCUGCGGCAGCGACACUAUGUGUUGUUGGGUAGGGGAGCGUUCUGUAAGCCUGCGAAGGUGUGCUGUGAGGCAUGCUGGAGGUAUCAGAAGUGCGAAUGCUGACAUAAGUAACGAUAAAGCGGGUGAAAAGCCCGCUCGCCGGAAGACCAAGGGUUCCUGUCCAACGUUAAUCGGGGCAGGGUGAGUCGACCCCUAAGGCGAGGCCGAAAGGCGUAGUCGAUGGGAAACAGGUUAAUAUUCCUGUACUUGGUGUUACUGCGAAGGGGGGACGGAGAAGGCUAUGUUAGCCGGGCGACGGUUGUCCCGGUUUAAGCAUGUAGGCUGAUUGUCCAGGCAAAUCCGGAUAAUCAAGGCUGAGGUGUGAUGACGAGGCACUACGGUGCUGAAGUAACAAAUGCCCUGCUUCCAGGAAAAGCCUCUAAGCAUCAGGUAACAUUAAAUCGUACCCCAAACCGACACAGGUGGUCAGGUAGAGAAUACCAAGGCGCUUGAGAGAACUCGGGUGAAGGAACUAGGCAAAAUGGUGCCGUAACUUCGGGAGAAGGCACGCUGGUGUGUAGGUGAAGUCCCUGCGGAUGGAGCUGAGACCAGUCGAAGAUACCAGCUGGCUGCAACUGUUUAUUAAAAACACAGCACUGUGCAAACACGAAAGUGGACGUAUACGGUGUGACGCCUGCCCGGUGCCGGAAGGUUAAUUGAUGGGGUUAUCCGUAAGGAGAAGCUCUUGAUCGAAGCCCCGGUAAACGGCGGCCGUAACUAUAACGGUCCUAAGGUAGCGAAAUUCCUUGUCGGGUAAGUUCCGACCUGCACGAAUGGCGUAAUGAUGGCCAGGCUGUCUCCACCCGAGACUCAGUGAAAUUGAACUCGCUGUGAAGAUGCAGUGUACCCGCGGCAAGACGGAAAGACCCCGUGAACCUUUACUAUAGCUUGACACUGAACAUUGAGCCUUGAUGUGUAGGAUAGGUGGGAGGCUUUGAAGCGUGGACGCCAGUCUGCGUGGAGCCAACCUUGAAAUACCACCCUUUAAUGUUUGAUGUUCUAACGUUGGCCCCUGACCGGGGUUGCGGACAGUGUCUGGUGGGUAGUUUGACUGGGGCGGUCUCCUCCCAAAGCGUAACGGAGGAGCACGAAGGUUAGCUAAUCCUGGUCGGACAUCAGGAGGUUAGUGCAAUGGCAUAAGCUAGCUUGACUGCGAGCGUGACGGCGCGAGCAGGUGCGAAAGCAGGUCAUAGUGAUCCGGUGGUUCUGAAUGGAAGGGCCAUCGCUCAACGGAUAAAAGGUACUCCGGGGAUAACAGGCUGAUACCGCCCAAGAGUUCAUAUCGACGGCGGUGUUUGGCACCUCGAUGUCGGCUCAUCACAUCCUGGGGCUGAAGUAGGUCCCAAGGGUAUGGCUGUUCGCCAUUUAAAGUGGUACGCGAGCUGGGUUUAGAACGUCGUGAGACAGUUCGGUCCCUAUCUGCCGUGGGCGCUGGAGAAUUGAGGGGGGCUGCUCCUAGUACGAGAGGACCGGAGUGGACGCAUCACUGGUGUUCGGGUUGUCAUGCCAAUGGCACUGCCCGGUAGCUAAAUGCGGAAGAGAUAAGUGCUGAAAGCAUCUAAGCACGAAACUUGCCCCGAGAUGAGUUCUCCCUGAGACUUUAAGUCUCCUGAAGGAACGUUAAAGACGAUGACGUUGAUAGGCCGGGUGUGUAAGCGCAGCGAUGCGUUGAGCUAACCGGUACUAAUGAACCGUGAGGCUUAACCUU